ACCCUGAAGCCAGAACAGCAAGAGGGAUUGGUGCGCAGCAAUCCCUCUUGCUGUUCUGGCUUCAGGGA